rnacentral:lncRNA from 1 species
ACCACUAAUACUGCAAACGACAACCACCAAACCAUAACUCCGUCUAAGCGCAUACCUCCGUCUCCAAAUACUAUCACUCCAGAAUAGCUCGUCAUAAUAUAUCUGACUAUUCAGGAAUACGCUAUUCAUUUUUACUAAUAUUAUCUGGAUGCAUCUCUUUGAUCUCGACUGUAUCUGGCCAUCAUAGUAUACAUCGAUUAUACCAACUAGUUUAUUCAAAUGUCACCUAGUAC